AAAGAAUCUCGUCGUGAAGGCGUUGCUGCCUGCCACUGCUGAACUUGAGGAUUAUUCAUGUCAUAGAGACAGGAGGAAGCUACAGAGCAGAGGGGUAUGUGCAGCACAAACGGGGAAAAAAGCUCCCUGAAGCACUGUCAGUACAACUUGAAAUCCACACUGCUUUAAGCUACCAGGCCACUGAGAAAAGCAGCAGCAAUAACUGUCAUCUUCUGGGACAUAUUCUUCAGCUGCACAAAGAAUCUUGCUGAUGUAAGGAGAGGAUCCAAGUAGCCCAUCUUACUGAUGUAUUCCAGAGCUGCUUCAAUACUUCUGCUACCUGUCUGCUUCAGCGCCCGCACAGCCA